rnacentral:tRNA from 1 species
UACUUAGUAGUUUAUAUAAAACUUUGGAUUUGCAUUUCAACAAAGGAUUACAUCCUUAAGUAG